CAGAUUCUCUGUGGUUACAUAUGGCAAACAGCUGAAAUUUACAGUUGAGAGUAAAAUUUCCUCAUUUGGGAAAAAAAAAAAAAUCAUUUCACAGAUUUAGAAAGUGGUCAUUCUGAUCUCCAGGGCAAAUAAAAGUGUUUUAUAACCUUCCACAAAAGCUUAUGCCUUGAUUAAAUUUUAUUAUGAAUUAUUAAUUAAACCAAGAAAACACAGAGGCCUAAACCUUUGCUUCAAUUUGCUCCAGAUUGAGACACAAACCAAAGGCGACAAGAAACCCUGAAGGGGAGGUUUAAUGAUAGGCAACACAUAUAAAACUAUCUGCACACUUUCAUCUGCCAAGGGCUCCAAACCAGCCAUGCAAACGAGCCCCCGCGCCUAGGCCUGAAUGCAGGCCAGCAAUGAACCUGGAAGAAACGGGAAGUCUUCAGCCUCUCUCUCCUGGAUGCUGUGUUUGGGUUUCGUGGGGGCAUUGUGACUUUGAGGACACAUCAGCUAUUUGUCUCAUGAGCAGCUGUGGUUAGGUGGGGAGUGGUAGGAAAGAGGGUGGAAAGCAGCCCGGUGUCUUGGAAGCUGAACCAGAGGUCAGGAGAAGCGGGCCACCGUGGUCAUGGCUUGAGUGACUGACUCAAGCAGGGCCACCCAAUACAGUUGUGCAGGUUGCCUGGAAGCAGGGGCAGGCUGCAGACGUCAUACACGGUACGCUUGCAUGAUGGACGCCUCCGAGCCGGCCUAGAGAGAUUGUCGCGGGGGCUGUGGGGCCGCAGGGAGUUUAGGUGCCCGCCUCAGGUGUCACGACGCUAUUCAGCCAGGUGCGAACCGACUGGCCUCUCCUCCGGCCCUGCGCCGCGGGCGCCCCCUGGAGGCGGUCGGGGGAGCGGAGACCGGCGCGCCUCCCGCAGCCCAGGGGUCCCCGCCCCUCUUCUUUUGGGUGCCCCUCAGGAUCCCGCAGAGAUUCCCAGCAGCCUCUCAAAUCGCAAUAAAGUUUCCCUACUUCAAAGUCAGUUGCUGUUCUCUCACGUCCACAUCACCAUUUACACCUGGCCAAUUUCCUCUGCUCCAUCCAGACAAAUGGCUUCUUGGCCCCCACUGGGUCACCCCCCUCACUCCUCCAGUUCGGCUCCUUUCUCCAAGGUCCCUUGGUUGGUCUUGCCCCUCAGGCCCUGGUUUAGGCCGGAUCCGGGGUCCCUCCCCACACCAAGGCUUCCCG
rnacentral:lncRNA from 1 species